GCCUGCUUGCAUGUUUGAAGCAGUUCCUUCCUGCAGCCUGGGUCCCCUCCCUGGAGACUGGCAGGCUCCUCCAGCCGCCUCAGGGCACUGACAUCCAUCCUAUGCUCCAGAAGAGAACGUACCCAGAAGCGACCCAAUGGAGCCACUCUGCCUCCCUGCGCAGACGCCAGCAGAGACUUAGUGACUACCCUGGGUGGGGGGGUGCGCCAGGCGGAGAUGGAAAGAAUAAAUGAGGGGAAGAGAACAGUCUGCCUGGGUCUGCCUUGCCUGGAGUCUGACAAACCUCAUGCGGCCCUGCAGAGCCCCUGAGCUGGGCCCUCCGCACACCCAGGAGGGGUUCCCACUGGGAGCUGGGUGGGGCUGCUCAGGGCGCCUAGGGCUGUCUGUCUGGAAAUCAGCAUGUUCCUGGGUUAGCAGCCUCACUCUCACCCUGGGCCCAGGGACAGGUGGCGUGAUUUCUUUUCCACAAGCCUCCCCACACUUUUCCCUCCCAUCCUUUGGGCUCCCCAGGCCUCAGUUGUGCUCCUGUCUGCCGUGAGAACACCAAAGUUGCUUUCCUGUUGCAGCAAGAACUGCUUCCCAACGAGGAGCACACCAGUCCCCAGCCUUCUCAGAGAAAUCAGGAUACAGGAGGGAGUGAGAACAUGGCAGAACAGAGAGUCACAGAACAGCCUCCUGCCAAGCCCAGAAGGCUGGGCCUGCCCCACUCGAAGCCCUGUCCAUCUGAAAGGCCCAGGAGUCUCCUGAUGACUGAGGUUAGGCCAGACCAGCCCACCAGGUGAGCCUCCCUUCUUCCCCACAGGACACGCAGCCUAGUCUGCUGCUGCUGUGCUGGCAGGGAGACCCCAGCCUACGGCAGGAACCGAGCCCCUCCUCUUAGGGGCUGCGUCAGCCUGCAGGACUUCCCACGCAGCGACCCCAGGUGCUGCUUGCUCUCCUGGCCAGGCUGUUCCUGGCGGGCUGGGCAUACACAGAGUGGAUGGUGAGUCUGGGACCAGGUUCCUGGGGUCGGCUGAUGCCACCCUAGGGAAGUGGGGGUAGCCCUCCCCUCCCCUGAUGAGGAUUUGAAGACCUCGGGGGUGGGAGGAAAGAAGGAGAGAUCAUUCGCGGUGACUCAGCCAAUGAUUCUCCAGAGAAUGAUUGCCACCUGAUACCCAGCUAGGGACAGGGUCCCGCUCUCUCUGGUGGCUGUGGGGGAGAAUCCUACUUGCCUCUUCCAGCCUCCGUGCCUUCGGGUUUCCUUGGCUUAUGGCAGCUUAACUCCAGUCUCUGCCUCUGUCUUCCCAGGCCCUUGUCCCCUGUGUCUCUGUGUCCUGUAUCUCCUUCUCUUUCCCUUUCUGUCAUAGGGAACACCAGUUACUGGAUUUGGGGCCCAUCCUCAACCCAAAAUGAUCUCAUCUUGUGAUGAGCUGUAAUUUGAUUUUAAGAUCUUAAGAUGAAAUCUUAAUUCUUAAUUAUAUUUGGCCUUAUUUUCAAAUAAGGCCACAUUCACAGGGACCGGUGUUAGGACUUGGACUUACCUUUUUGGGGGACACCUUGCAACCCACUAUAUUCGGUUGCUUUCUCUGUAAAAGGCAGACGAGAGUAGCAGCUGCCUCACGAUACUGUGGGUUAGUACAUGCACAGACUUGGAGCAGCACCUGGCAUGUGGUAUGUGCUCAGUAAAUGUUAGCUCGUUUUGUCAUUCCUCAUCCUUCAAACAUGUCACUCAAUGAAACCUACUCUGAGCUGUGCCCCAGACCCAAACAGAGCCAUUGCCCACACAGCUGCUUCACUGGCCUUUGUAGACCCUUCCAGCUUUAUUCCAGGGCUUUGAUCAAGAGGGAUGGAGGCUGUUUCCUCUGUCAGCUCAUUCGCUCCUCUGGAUAAAAAGCUGGAUCUUAUUCAUCUCUUUCUAAAAAAAUAACCACUUUUGAGUCCUACAAAAAUAUCUUGAUCACGAGCAAUAAUACAUGCAUAGAGACAUCACAGAGCAAGCGUAUGUCAUCAUCAUACGCCCAAAUGUUUCCCAGUUUUCUCUUGACCAUUUGACUGGUCCCUUCCGCCUUUGUCUCCCAGCAUUAGUACCGACCUUGCCAUGUGGGGGUGCGGAACAGCUAUAUCUGUUGAUAAACUGAAGGAGGAGGACAGCCUAAAGGUCAGAGCAGAAAUUAAGGAGAGGCUGAAUGUACUGCCCCAGGCCCCCCCCAACUGGGGACAGGGUGGGCCUGCGAGAUGACGGGGAGCGGAAGGAAGGCGCUGGGGCUCGGGGCCACAGGAGGUGCAAGCGAGUGUCAGCGGCUGAGUGUGAGGGAGUGUAGGGAACUCUCGGCCGGGAUCCACGACAUCCGGGAGACCCAACCAGACGGAGGAGACCUGCUGGCUUGGCUGUGUAAAAGGAACACCAGUUACCUUUGUUUCUGUGGACUGUUUAUGAUUUAUGACUAAUUACCAUGUAAAAUAAUAGCAGUUACAUAUAUAAUUAUCUGGCAGAUUAAUUUAUUAUAAGCUUCAUUUAAUUAUACUGCUGAAUUCUGUUUGCUACAUCUCUACUACCCCCAAAACAAAAACAAAACAAAACAAAAUUUGAAGGCCCAUUGCUCCCCUCCACUUUCACAAUUGGAGAAGGCUGGUAGGACCUGGCCCAGUCUCCAGUGGAAGCCUGUUGCCUGGACAGAGUGGCCCUGGUGACUGCUGCUAAGAAGUGUCUUGUAUGGAGCCCUUGCUGUCCUGGUGCUGAGCCCCUUUGAAAUGCCAUUGUGCUCCUGGGUUCCAGCCAGAGAGCCAAGCUGGGAGGAGGCAGAAGCCACAGAGAGAAGCCAGGCAAGCUGCGACCCUGACACUUCCAGGAGCUGGAGAAGACCCCUGUGGGACCCCCAUGACUUAUGUGGGUCCAGCCAGCCCUUUCAGCCCCGUUCCUGCUGUGGGGGUCCUUUCUCUCCCCUAGACUCUUUCUAGCUUCUCAUGCUGCAGAAUGGUCUCUGCCACCUCUCUGCUCAGUAAGCUUCAACCCCAACUGGUUUGAAGAAGCCCCUUGGGAGGUCUGGAGAUCCUGACCACCUCCCUUCUCCCCUGCCCCGUGCCCCAGCCACCACACUAAGGCCCUGUCAAGCCCACCUGCCCUCAGCCCCUUCCACGCACACUGUCAGGCCUGGUCUUACCUGCUCUUCCAGCAGCCCCGGGAAGCAGGUGCCAUCAUAUUCAUCACUGUUCACAGAUGAGGACCACGGGGCUCUGACACCCAGCUGGUGAGGUCAGAGAUGGUUUGAAACCAGGCCAGAUCCUGUGCUGGGUGCUAAGGAUGGACCCACAGACAAGGCGGAAAUGGACAAGCCCCAUGUGGAGCUUAUACCCAGGCCCGCCUCACACCCAGUGGUUUACAAUGAAAAUUUUCAUAAUACACAAAAGUGGAGAGAAUAGCAGAAUGAACUCCCCUGGACCAUCACCCAGUGGCAGCACUCAAUCACCAGUUGAGUGAUUUGUACUUUGUUCUUACCUGAUUCUCUGCUGAGAAAGUUAUGAAAUAUGUGCUUACGGUUUCUUCCCUGUUCCUUUCUCCCAUUCAAGCAGAUGCUAGGAGAACUAGCAAUACCUAGGAGAACUUAAAGGGCUUGCAAAGGAGGGAAAAGAGGGGAAGGAGACUGCAUUUGUUUUCUAGGGCUGCAAACAAUACCCUGACCUGAGCGGCUUACAUAAUAGAAUCUUCCUGUCUCCCAGGUCUGGAGGCUGGAAGCCUGAGAGUAAGGUCUGAGCAGUCCUGGCUCUUUCUGAGGGACUGUGAGGGAACUGUCGGCUCCAGGCCUCUCUCCUUGGCUAAGGCCUCUUCUCCAAGUUUCUUCACAUCUUCUUCCCGCUAUGCCUGUCUGAGUCCAGAUUUCCUCCUCUUACAAGGACACUGGUCACAUUGGAUUAGGACUCACUCCAAUGACCUCAUUUAAACUGGCUUAUCUCUGUAAGGACCCUAUCUCCAAAUCAGGUCACAUUCUGAGGUGUUGGGGGUUUGGACGCCAACACAUCUUUUUGGGGAGACACAAUUCAACCCAUAGUGGGGACUCACUGGCAUAGAUUGAAUGAAAAUCUUAAAGAAACACAGAAGGAAAUUUGCUUCAGGCUAUUUUCCCAGAAGGAAGGGUGGGCUAGAAAGAGGGUCUAUGGGAUAAGGAAAAGAAAGGCAGAGGGGACAUUGGUCAGCUCCCAAAAGGUACCUGUGUCCUGGGGGUGGCACAGAAUCAUCAGGGACACCUGGACGCACAGGGGCCACUGGACAGAGAUGGGGCUUGUUAGAGCACCCCAUGUCCAGAAGCAAGGCACCACCUCAGAGCCAAGAAUAUGUGGGAUGCAUAUUUCAUCCAGCUUUUGGGAAUGGGUCCUAGGAGUCAGAAAUUAAUUUAGAAACUUAGCAAAUGGAGGACUCGAUGUUUUCUGCACCUCCUGAGUCUGUCAGUUGAGAAGUCUAUCUGCCAAAUAUACAACAGAUAAAAGCAGGGGUGUUCUAGGUGGAGCUCACCCUAAUAUUGGCUCCCUUUGCAGUAUCCCAAGGCAAUCCGAGGAGGCUCAGAGUGCCAGGAAACUCAGCUGGAAAACUUAGGGUCCACCCCUCCCUACUUAUUGAACACACAGGACACAGAGGCUCAGAAGAGAAAAGACCUGCUUGUGGGCAUGCAAAAGGCAGGUUAGCAGCAGUUGAGAACCCAGGGUUCCUGAUUUCUACAGGACUCUUUCCUGGCAGCUUCCUCAAAGAUUUCUCAGAGGUGCUGGCACUGUAUUUUUGGUCCAUAUCCAGGUCCCUGGAGGUAUGUCCUUGCACUGCAGACUUCUGAGUCCCUGAGCCGUCCUGGAGUGGGCCUGGAAUCACCUCUUGGGACCUUGUCAGGUUCCUGUUGUUUUGUUCGAGCAGUUCUAAUAGAUGUGCAGUGUGCAGCAUCCUGUGCUGUUUUGACACGUUCCCACCCAUCUCCGAGGGCAUCUUUGCUUUCCAGUCCAAUGAGAUGUUCUAGAAUCACGUUGUCCUUACUUAACCCCAGGAAAAUUAUCCCUGGAAUAAGCCAUCCUGGUUUGAAGUCGAGUUUUAUUUUACUAGGACUUGGGAUAUUAUGACAUAUUAGGGGGAAAGCAUCAUUAAAACGUACUUCUAUGAUGUCAAUUUGAUUAUUCUAUAGUCAACCAUUCCCCACAUAGAGAUAAUUCCCACAUGCAGAAAUGGCUGAGACCUUCCUCUUUGAACCUGUCUCCAGCAUCUUUUAGUACAUUCCUUUCUGCUUUAACUAGAGUGGAUUCUGUUCUCUGUAGUUAACCCUCAUCAACAGACUGAUUGAUGCAACAGAUUCUCAAGCAAAUAGAAUCUAAGAUUGGCUAUCUGACCUAGUUGGAUUGAAAGGCAGCAAGGACCCCAUUAGCAUUAGGAGAUAGUAUUCUGGUAGCCCAUAUGGCAGAAUGGCAAUACAGCUGUCGCCUGUGGUCACUUAUGAUGAAGGUAAAGCUUUAGAGGACAGAGUCACUGCUGAGAUAAACCACUGAGGUGAGAAUAAGGAGUUAAAACCUGGGGAGUAGGCUGGCUGCUUCCCACUACACAGAGUGUUUAAAGAAAGAAAUAACAACCUCAGGGGAUUUUCUUCUUUCUUUUAAAAAAAUAGCUUUAUAUAUAAUGUGAUAUGUCAAUUAUACCUCAAUCUUUAAAAAUAGCUUUUUUGUCAAUAUAGCUAUGUGUACUGACAUAAAAUAAACUGCAUAUAUUUAAAGUGUUCAAUUUGAAGUUUUGACACACAUGUAUAUACACACACACAUGCCUGUGACACCAUCACUACAAUCAAGAGCACGAACAUCCAUUACCCCCAAAAUUUCUUUGGAUACCUUUGCAAAUCCCUCCUGCUCUUCUUUGCCCCUUUUCCUUUCCCAGGCAACCACUGAUCUACUUUCUAUCACUAUGGAUUAGUUAGCCUUUUUUAGAAUUUUUUAUAAAUGGAAUCACACAGUAUGUUCUUACUUCUGCCUGGCUUCCUCCACUCAGAGUAAUUGUUAUAAUUAUUUUGAGGUUUAUUGUCAAUAGUUCAUCCCUUUUACUACUGAGUAGCAUUCCAUUGCAUGGCUAUACUAAUUUUUAUCUAUUCACUUAUUAAUGGAUUGAUUUGGGUUGUUUCUAGUUAUGAAUAAAGCCACUAUAAAUGUUAGUGUACAUGUCUUUAUGUGGACCUAUGUUUAUAUGCUAUCAUUUUUCUUGGAUAAACACCUAGGAGUGAAAUUGAUGGAUUAUAUGGUAUGUGGAUGCUUAAUUGGUUAAGAAACUGCCAGGCUGUUUUUCAGUGGUUGCACCAUUUUAUAUUCCCACCAGCAGUGUACAAAGUUUCAGCUGCUUCAUAUCCUGUCCAACAUUUGGCAUGGUCACCUUUUAAUUUUAGUUAUUCUAAAUGAUUCAAAGUCAGUGACACAGAGAUGGAUAAGACCACUCCAAGGCCAAACAGAGUGGCCACUGAGAGCAGAAACACCACUCAGCACCUCUCAAGCUCCUCACAGGCCACUCUAAUCACCACCCAUGCCUGCAGGAGGAGGAUGGAGCUCUCCCGUCUCCCCAGCAGACAGGCUGCAGUCUGCCAGAAUCCUGAAAGAGGGAAUGUCUUUGAGAACAGAGACCUCAUCUGCAUGGCCCUGGAGGCUCUGCUUUGAACACAGCAGAGAUGAAAGAGCAGAUUUCCCAGACUACUAGUAAAGCUGGUACACACACAGCACAGACAUAAAAAUAUUUAUCACAGUCAUCUGUAAAUGUAUGCAAGAGCCCAAGACCCAGAGAUGUACUUCAUUUCAUGCUAUCCUCUUAAAUGAACACCUGGAUUUAUUAAGAAUGAAUUUAUUAAUUCGCUAUUUAUGAAGCAUGACUCCCAUUUUAUGUAAGGGUGAAUGAUUUGAAAAGGAAUUUCGCAUCAUUGUCCCAAUCCUCAUAACAAGUCAUCAAGAGGGGUAGGAAAGCAUUGUCAUCCUUGCUGGGGACUGCAUGACAGAGAUGUGAGGUGACUCAUCAGACAUCAUAUAGCCAGAAAGCCCAAGGGCUGGUAUAGAAACCCCAGGUAUUCAGACUCCAAGCUUAGCUCUGUCCCCCUCAAUGCUUUUUUAUGUUAAGUGGAGAGACUUUUCUCAUCAGGUGGGUUGCCUUGGUAAGGCCGCAGGACCAGGAAAGGCAAGACAGGAGCUAACUGUUGCAGGAUGCAGUUCAGUCAGCCCUGCUUACCCACAGGGAGACAGCCGCUAGGGCCGCAUCCGCCCCCUGGUCCCAGCUCUCCUCCUCUUACCUCACAUUGCCCAGCUUAUAAAAUAAACACAUUCCAGAGUAAGUAUUGUGUUUUCUUUACAAAAGUUUUCACCAUAGAGCACUUUGAAUGGCAAGCUCCCCAAAAGUAUCAAAAAUAGGGUUCAAACUAUAAAAAUGAUGUAAACACAAGCUGGGGAGACAACCAGUAUAUUGUAUAAGAUCCGUACACAUUGUCAGUUACAUGUGCAGAUAGACAUGGGGUGAUCUGAGAUGAGGGAUGGGGCAAAGUGACUUCUGAAGAUGAUGGGGGUGUGGUCUUUCUCUCCACUCAAAAAAUAGGUUGUGGACUCUGUGUGUGUGUGUGUGUGUGUGUCUGUGUGUGUGUGUGUGUGCACGCGCGCGCACGUGUGCAUGCCCACGUUUGUGGAAGUGGGUAUAUACACAGUGGGGAGAAAGCCUGGCUUUAACUACCAAAGCUGAAGUUCAGUGAUGCUGCCUUCUAAGAGGCUGCUUUUGACUUUCUAAUGAAAAAUUAAUAGGCACUUGCUUGUUGCUGCCUUUAAUUACGUUUGCUAGAGACAAGUGUCUGCUGGCCCGCAUGGCUCUGGCUUCUGUGCGGGAUCUGCUCUCAGCAAAGCCCACUGGUUUGGAAGCACAAAGGGUACCACUUCAGCUGAGGGGCUGAAGACACAGAAACAUCAGCGGGUAGAGAUUGUGUCACAUUUUCUGCUAAUGGGUCCCCACCCACUAGUAUUUGCCUGGCAAAGAAGCUGAGCCUAACACCUCUUGGUAGAGCACAGGCCAGGAUUCCAAACUUGUAGGCUGAGGACCCCCGAAACCAAGGAGAUCUUGAAAGAGGGCUACUAAACCCUGUCCAUAGGCAUAAUAAACAUACUCCCCCUACCAAUACAGAACCAUUUUUUCUAAUGUGUACAUGCUAUUGGGAUUAAUAAAGUAUCAUUUAAAUCAAUUACCAAAUUUACAAUAUUUUUUUACCAUUAUGUAUUUUCUUAACUAAAGGUUCUCAUAUACACCGCUUUGGGGGGCCUCAAAAAUAUUUUGCCUUAAAAAUGGGCCUUCAUACAGGAAAAGACUAGGAACUUAAAACAAGGUAUUUCUUCUGUAACUAUGAAGCAGAGUUACAGAAGGAAUGGUCUUUUCGGGCCCCACCUCCCUGUUUUUUAACAACUUUAGUAGAUACAAUUUACAUUGCAUAAAGCGACAUCUACUUAAAGUGUGUAACUCACUGUU